AAUAUCGAUAGCAUUCAUCUGUUUCAAAAAGAGUGUUGUUCGUAUAUGGUCCAAAAAAUGCCAAACCAGAUGAUGGGUUAGCAAAGUCAGCCCAAUAGCCUUCUGCUCGAAGAGCAUAACAAAUUUCUUUUGUACCUUUAAAGAACUUUUCUAAAAGCAUUUCUGUCUCAUUU